UGAUAUUUCCUUACUGUUGCAUACGCCCUUUUCUUCUUUGUAAGGAAUGUUUUCUUUGAUUACACUCACACCUUACAAAGAAAUUUGUAAUUUGACCCACCCAUGUCCAGCACUGCACCAUAAACUCCCUCCCUCCCUCUUUUGUCACACCUCCUGCACUAUAUAUACACAAUAUAUACUUCCCAACAGUCACUUUCAAGUGCAAACACUACUCUAAAGCGAUGGCAUCCAACUCUAUCUUUCGACUCCAGCUGAAUGAUGGAAACAAGAUUCCAAUUAUAGGCUUUGGUACCUACGCUCCAGAAUAUGUAAGUACUGAAAAAUACAGAAUUCACAAAAAGAAUGAAGAUGUUUAUUCUGUGAAAUAUACAAAUGCAGCAUUAUAAAAAUUGCAAGUUUCAGCAAUAGACGAGACUAUUUAUGAAAAAACAUUUUCCACUUUAUUGAUUCUGCUCCUAUGUGAAGACAUUUUAAUAGCUAUUCUUCAUGUUUAGAAGUUCAAUUAAAGAAUGCAAGCAUUAUCCACAAAACAAGAGGACCUGGUUGACCUAGCAUAAAAAAGGAACUAGUGCCACUUAUUUAAUGUUUUUGGUUUGUUUGUUUUUUAGCCCUAAUCUACAUGGACUUCAAUUCAGUGUUUGCAUAUUUUUUUUAAAAACCCCGUCGACUCAUCCUCUCAGUUAUGUAAUUACAAAAAAAAUAUUAUUUAACAGGCAAGAGGCAGAGUUCUGAAUAGUAAACGAAUAUAGGAUAGAAGAAGCCAUAAAGUCUAGUCUUGGGCUGAAUCUCCUAGUCUUUUUGCCACUUAGCAACACCCAGGUUUCUGCUGUUGAUUCAAAACAAGGAGAAAAACAUUAGGUUUUUUGGACCCAGGACUCGAACACAGACAUAUCACUGUAUGUUCAUGUUGGAGUUUGGUGUUCGACGAUUUAAUGGCGUGUUUUCAAAGGCUGCAGGGCUGCCAAUUAACAAGCGUUUGAAUCGUGUGCCCUUAGAAGCCAUCACAGCCAUGCCUACUAAUGGCAUGGCUGUUAUUGGCCAGUGCAGCAUAUGACCCAGCCUCUAUAUAUAAGCUGGAGUUGCGUAGCGCCGCAGGCACAUGCGGUCUUAUUAGAGGAUGAUGCCGCUGAUAGGGACAGCUUAGGAAAGAAUUCUGCAAACUAGUACAUUAGUGGGGUCGGGUGCCCUUCAUAUCUGAGAGUCAAAUAGAAGCUUCAAAUACCGCGGUUACAUCGGAGUUGUAAGAAGUAAAAACAUUUUGGUGCUAAAUAGUACAUUAGUGGGGUGUACUUCAUAUCUGAGAGUCAAAUAGAAUUGUCAAAUACUGCUGUCACAUUGCAGUUUUAAAACUUAAAAUUUUUUGGGUCCUAAAUUGCUAAAUAGUAUUUUAGUGGGGUGCACUUCAUAUCUGAGAGUCAAAUAGAAGCGGAUCAUAGUGUGCUUACAGCGCAGUGGUAAACAUUCUUAUUUUCUGGGUGCUAAUCUGCUAAAUAGUACAUUUUGGGGCGUGUGCUUCAUAUCUGAGAGUCAAAUAGAAGCGUCUAAUAGUGCGCUUACAGGGCAGUGGUAAACAUUCUAAUUGUUUUGCUGCUAAUCUGCUAAAUAGUACAUUUGCGGCCUGCGGUGCACUUCAUAUCUGAGAGUCAAAUGGAAGCGUCUAAUAGCGUGCUUACUGCGCAGUUUUAAACAUUCUAAUUGUUUUGCUGCUAAUCUGCUGCUUACAUUGGAGUUUUUAAAAGUGAAUUUUUUUUUGGUGCUAAAUAGUAUAUUUGGGUUGUUCACUUCAUAUCUGAGAGUCAAAUCGAAGAGUAACUUUGAUUUGAAUUUACUACAUCGGUCACUUGUAAUAUUGUUUCACACCUACAACACUUGUUACACAGAUCUAAGUGAUAGAAAACAGAUUGAUAUUUUCUACACUAGAAACUACCAGAUACCAAGCUGCUAUAUUCAAACCAGUGAUCAAUAGCUAAGAGGUACUUCAACAAUAUUGUAAUUCUUGGGCAAUACUUUUACAAGUCAAACUGAGGGGUCAGUUUAUAGGGAAAACUGUUGCCUGGAUACAAUUCUAAAACAAUUUCCAUAUGUGCUUUGCAGACUUUACAUGCUGCAAAAACACAGGUGCCAACUCCUGUGGCUUUCUGCAGUGUGCAUACAGGCAAGGAGGGCAGGGUUGAGGAGUGGGUGGAAGAUGAUGUGGAGGAUGAUGAGGUCCUAGACCCCACAUGGAAUCAAGGUCAUGCGAGUGACGUGUGCAGUUUGGAGGAAGAGGCGCUGGUCGCACAGAGGCACCAGCACAGCAUAAGAGGGAGCAGGGAGCAAAAGCGGAAUGGCCGUCCCCUAGCGCUCGUCGGCAUGUAUUAGCUUGAGAAUUACCAGUUAUCCAAGUAAUACAUGUAGCGAUCAAAGGAUCCAUAAUAGACUUGAGCGAACCCGAACUGCAAAGUUCGGGUUCGUACCAGAUUUAACGAUCCAGUCGUAGUUUCACAGUGAGGUGGGCAGUCCGGACGACCAAGACCCAGUAUGCCUAGGAGUCACAGUGGAGUCACAGUGUGGAAUGGAUUAGCAGGGUCUGGUGCAGGGCAACCGCACGCCCCCUGGUGUUGAGCACCAGCGUUUGUGCUGCCACAUACCAGGACCCCGAUGCAGCUUCAGUAAAAAGAGUACUUGAUACCAGAAGCCAUCACCAUACUGAUCCGCAACUUGGAACGGGAUGUGACAUUCACUGUAGCGGCUGUGCGCGCUUUUGGCGUUGUCACCCUGGUGCUGCUCGCCUGUCUGCGCUGCAGCGUAACUUUGACCUUCCUGCUCACCGCCUCUUGAGACUGUGCGAGCAGCAGCAGGCGAUAAUGGAGUUUCAGCUGCAGCACACAUGGGUCAGUGGCUCUGCACCAGACUUCCCUCCAAUUGAUCAGAGUUAAAGGAUUUCAAGUGGACUCAUUUCAAUUACAGGACCUCUAAAGAGUCCUGUAUUGUUAUUUUUUGUCACUACCUUCCCGCAUCGGGAGUGGUUCAUUUG